rnacentral:rRNA from 1 species
AUUGAACGCUGGCGGCAGGCCUAACACAUGCAAGUCGAACGAGUGGCGGACGGGUGAGUAAUGUCUGGGAAACUGCCCGAUGGAGCGGGAUAACUACUGGAAAAGGUAGCUAAUACCGCAUACCAUCGGAUGUGCCCAGAGGGGAUUAGCUAGUCGGUGGGGUAACGGCGCACCUAGGCGACGAUCCCUAGCUGGUCUGAGAGGAUGACCAGCAACACUGGAAAUGAGAAACGGUCCAGGCUCCUACGGGAGGCAGCAGUGGGGAAUAUUGCAAAAUGGGCGCAAGCCUGACGGAGCAAUGCCGCGUGGAUGAAGAAGGUUUUCGGGUUGUAAAGCACUUUCAGCGGGGAGGCGUUAUCCGCAGAAGAAGCCCCGGCUAACUCCGUGCCAGCAGCCGCGGUAAUUC